UGCAGAACCCUGCAGUGCCCAUCAUCCCAUGUUGCUGAAGAGGUUAAAACCCCUUCAGUGACUUACCUGAAUCCAGCGCCGAUGUCCCUCGGCGCUGGGUCAGGCUCCGCCCACGCUUGUCAGCGGGGAAGACCUAAUGCGCGGCAAUGGCCUUGCACGCGGAUUAGACCUCCCCAUAAGAAAGAAUUAUUAAAUUAAGGAACUCCAGCGUUGUUUAAAAUACUUUUCGUGUUCCAAGAACCAGGAAGUCCCUCUAGUGGCUCUCUGGUAGACAGCCACUAGAGGAGGACUUAACCCUGCAAGG